rnacentral:rRNA from 1 species
UACGGAGGGUGCAAGCGUUAUCCGGAUUUACUGGGUUUAAAGGGUGCGUAGGUGGGUCUGUAAGUCAGUGGUGAAAUCUCCGGGCUUAACCCGGAAACUGCCAUUGAUACUAUAGGUCUUGAAUUAUCUGGAGGUGAGCGGAAUAUGUCAUGUAGCGGUGAAAUGCUUAGAUAUGACAUAGAACACCAAUUGCGAAGGCAGCUGGCUACACGAAUAUUGACACUGAUGCACGAAAGCGUGGGGAUCAAACAGG